rnacentral:rRNA from 1 species
UACGAAGGGGGCUAGCGUUGUUCGGAUUUACUGGGCGUAAAGCGCACGUAGGCGGAUCGUUAAGUCAGGGGUGAAAUCCUGGAGCUCAACUCCAGAACUGCCUUUGAUACUGGCGAUCUUGAGUCCGGAAGAGGUGAGUGGAACUCCGAGUGUAGAGGUGAAAUUCGUAGAUAUUCGGAAGAACACCAGUGGCGAAGGCGGCUCACUGGUCCGGUACUGACGCUGAGGUGCGAAAGCGUGGGGAGCAAACAGG